rnacentral:lncRNA from 1 species
UGAAGAUGGUUUAUUUAGCUUGAUUUUCUUAUGGUGCGAUGGUCAGAAAUCAAUAUUUUUGAAUCCCAUCGAUAAAGUAAUUUCUUUAUAGCCAUAAAAUAUUAUUAUACAUAUGUAUUAUAUAUUUAAUAGUAUAGAAAACAAUGAAAAAUGAAAAAGUACAUAAAAUAAAGAAGAAAUAUAAUUGAAAACAAAAGUUUUAACCAAAUAUAUAAUCA